CGAGAGGGUGCGGCGCCUCUCGCGAGAAGAACUCUGUGACCAAGCCCGCGCAAAAGUGGGUGGGCUUUUAAAAAAUGAAAGAACGAACAGGAAAAACCUUCCCACGUGCUCUGGGGCGGCUAGCGGAUCGGCCCCGCGCGUCUCGUGACGUCCAAGCGGCCGCUCUAUUGGCCAGGAUCCGCUCAGCCGUGGGAGCUUUAAACUCCAGGCUGACCUACGAACCUGCGGCGAACGUCUUGCGCGCUUCCUGAUCCGUUACCAUGGAAACGGUUUAACCCUUUCCUCUGGCAAAAUACCCAAGCUGUGGCUGGCUCCGCAGGGCCAGAUCCUCUCUGCUUUGGAGCCUUCCCACGAGAUCUUCCUUCAGCACUGAGUGUUCUCUGUCCACCCCUUAGCCUCUGCAUGCCUGAGAAUCCCUCAGCAUUCAGCUGUACUCUCAAGAACUCAAGAACUCUUGUACUAAUUCCCCAGACUAGGAAACCACCAUCCUGAAACUGAUGCAUAUCAUAACCAUUCAUGUCUUUAUACUUUUACUACAUAGGUAUGAACCUGUAAAUAAUAUAUACUAUUUGAGUGUAUAAAUUUUUACAUAAAUGUUAUGUGGUGUAUAUAUUUAGCAACUUGCCUAUUCUUAAUGUUUGUUUGUUUAUUUAUUUGUUGAGAGACACAGUAUGAGUGGGGGAGGGGCAGAGAGAGAGGGAGACACAGAAUCCGAAACAGGCUCCAGGCUCUGAUCUGUCAACACAGAGCCCAACACGGGGCUUGAACUGUGGAACAGUGAGGCCAUGACGUGAGCCAAAGUUGGCCAUUCAACCAACUGAGCCACCCAGGUACCCCAUCAGUUGUCUAUUCUUUUAUUCAGCAUUAAGAAAUCCAACAUACUGAUCAAUGCAUUGAUUCAUUUCAUUCAAUUGUAUUAAUAAAUGACUUUAUUUAUCCACUCUACUACUAUUAAAUGUCUCUAUUUUAUUUACUACAAUCUUGCAGUAAACAUCUUUAUACAUAUCUCUUUGGGCCCAUAUGUAUAUAUGAGUGGAACUGUUGGAUCAUAGAACAGACACGUCUUCAACUUACUAGGUAUUACCAAAUAGGUCUCCAAGAGGUUAUACUGAUUUAUAUUCCCACCUGCAGUGUGCACAAAUUCCCAUUUCUUUUAAUCCUUAUUAAAAACAGCUUUGCCAAUCUGAGGGACCUAAAAUAAUAUUUUAUUUCCCUGCAUUUCUCUGGCUAUGGUACCAUUGAACAUAUUUUUAGAUAUUUAUUAACAUUGAUUAUUCUGAAUUCCUUUGAUGGAAAUAGCCUGUUCAUAUAAUUUGCCCAUUUUUCUAGUGGAUUGUUUGGUUUUCAAAAAUUGAUUUGUAUGAAUUUAUACAGAUGGCCAAGAAGCACAUGAAAAGAUGCUGAUAAUGACUAAUAUCAUUAGUCAUUGAAGAAAUGUAAAGUAAAACCACAGUGAGAUAACCUGACCUACUAGAACUUACCUCUUAGAAUUGCCUUAAAAACUGAUAAUAACAAGUAUGGCAAGGAUGGGAGCAACA